GUGGGGAAUUUUGGACAAUGGGCGAAAGCCUGAUCCAGCAAUGCCGUGUGUGUGAAGAAGGCCUUCGGGUUGUAAAGCACUUUUGGCAGGGAAGAAACAGUGCGUGCUAAUACCAUGCGCGAAUGACGGUACCUGCAGAAUAAGCACCGGCUAACUACGUGCCAGCAGCCGCGGUAAUACGUAGGGUGCAAGCGUUAAUCGGAAUUACUGGGCGUAAAGCGUGCGCAGGCGGCUUUGUAAGACGGAUGUGAAAGCCCCGGGCUCAACCUGGGAAGUGCAUUCGUGACUGCAAGGCUAGAGUGUGUCAGAGGGAGGUGGAAUUCCGCGUGUAGCAGUGAAAUGCGUAGAGAUGCGGAGGAACACCGAUGGCGAAGGCAGCCUCCUGGGAUAACACUGACGCUCAGGCACGAAAGCGUGGGGAGCAAACAGGAUUAGAAACCCCGGUAGUCC
rnacentral:rRNA from 1 species